ACGGCUCAGUAACACGUAGUCAACCUAACCUAUGGACGGGAAUAACCUCGGGAAACUGAGUAUAAUGCCCGAUAGAACAUUAUGCCUGGAAUGGUUUAUGUUCCAAAUGAUUUACCGCCGUAGGAUGGGACUGCGGCCUAUCAGUUUGUUGGUGAGGUAAUGGCCCACCAAGACUAUUACAGGUACUGGGCUCUGAGAGGAGUGGCCCGGAGAUGGGUACUGAGACACGGACCCAGGCCCUAUGGGGCGCAGCAGGCGAGAAAACUUUGCAAUGUGCGAAAGCACGACAAGGUUAAUCCGAGUGGUUUCUGCUAAGGAACCUUUUGUCGGUCCUAGAAACACCGAUGAAUAAGGGGUGGGCAAGUUCUGGUGUCAGCCGCCGCGGUAAAACCAGCACCUCAAGUGGUCAGGAUGAUUAUUGGGCCUAAAGCAUCCGUAGCCGGCUUUGUUAGUUUUCGGUUAAAUCUGUACGCUUAACGUACAGGCUGCCGGGAAUACUGCAGAGCUAGGGAGUGGGAGAGGUAGACGGUACUCGGUAGGAAGGGGUAAAAUCCUUUGAUCUAUUGAUGACCACCUGUGGCGAAGGCGGUCUACCAGAACACGUCCGACUGGUGAGGGAUGAAAGCUGGGGGAGCAAACCGGAUUAGAUACCCGGGUAGUCCCAGCUGUAAACUAUGCAAACUCAGUGAUGCAUUGGCUUGUGGCCAAUGCAGUGCUGCAGGGAAGCCGUUAAGUUUGCCGCCUGGGAAGUACGUACGCAAGUAUGAAACUUAAAGGAAUUGGCGGGGGAGCAC
rnacentral:rRNA from 1 species